CAGCAGACAGCGAUAUAAAAUCAUUGACAAGCCAGCUCUGUGGAAGAGCAGUAGGCCUAGUUUACAUGGGUAAAUGCUGAGAAGAUAAUUCACUUCAAUAUCCCCAUCAAUCUUCAGUUGAAAAAGGCAGCGAUAUAAUACCUACAGGUACAUUGACGAGGAGGCAGUAGGUAAACGCUGAGGAGACCAUUAAGAUAAUCUUCUGUGGAAACCUUUCAACACACUUAUUCAGUUCCCUUCACAUCAAUCUUCAGUUUAAAAAGGCACUGAAGAUCUGAAUCAAAAGAAGAUUUGGUAUGUAAAGAUAACAG